rnacentral:rRNA from 1 species
GCACGGGUGAGUAACACGUGAAUCAUCUACCUCCGAGUGGGGAAUAACUGAGAGAAAUCUUAGCUAAUACCGAUAACACUUACGAGUCAAGCAGCAAUGCGCUUGGAGAGGAGUUCGCGGAGAUUAGUUAGUUGGCGGGGUAAUGGCCCACCAAGACGAUGAUCUGUAUUCCGGCCUGAAGGGCGCCACGGACCCCUGAACUGAAACACGGUCCCAGACUCCUACGGGAGGCAGCAGUUGGGGAAUUUUGCGCCAAUGGGGGAAACCCUGACGCAGCAACGCCGCGUUGGAGGAUGAAAUCCCUUGGGAUGUAAACUCCUUUCGAUAGGGAAGAUAAUGACGGUACCUAUAGAAGAAGCCCCGGCUAACUUCGUGCCAGCAGCCGCGGUAAUACGAGGGGGGCAAGCGUUGUUCGGAAUUAUUGGGCGUAAAGGGUGCGUAGGCGGUUUGACAAGUUCUUAUGUGAAAUCUUCGGGCUCAACCCGAAGUCUGCAUGGGAAACUGUCGGGCUUGAG